GGGAAAUAUUAUUUAAAGAAACCAAUCCGGACUGGCGCAUGAGCAAUGCUGCUAUGGAAGCACUGCAAACCGCAACAGAAAUGUACAUGACACAACGCUUCGAAGAUGCCUAUUUGUUGACCCUGCAUCGGGGACGUAUAACACUAGAUCUGCGCGACUUAAGGCUAGCUAACUUUAUAUUGGACAGCCGUGGCAAAUUGUAAGCUUCAGUCAGCUUUCAGAACAUAAAAAUGAAAGCUGAAUUCGACAAUAUGGUUAAUCAAAAAUUGAUGACAACGCUACCUUACAAUCAAUAUGGAUGAAAACUGAUCCAACUAAUUAUUAAGGUCGAG